AUGAGUUGUCUAAGUUGGAACUACCAGGGGCUUGGGAACCCCUAGGCAGUUCGAUAGCUUCACAAUGUGGUGAAGCAAGAAGGGCCUGUGCUGGUUUUUGUUAUGGAGACGAAAAUCAGAGGAAAACGUGUGGAGGAUCUACGGUAUACCCUAGGGUUUGUCGGCAGCUUUGCGGUUGACAGCGAGGGCCUCAGUGGAGGCAUCAGUUUGUUUUGGUCCAAUGAUGUGCAUGUGGAGCUCAAAAAUUACAGCGCCAGCCAUAUUGAUGUGUUGGUGCGGGAUUCAUCAGCGGAUACAACAAGUUGGAGGUUUACAGGGUUUUAUGGUGCACCGAGAGCAGUUGAUUGUCAUCAUAGCUGGCGCUUUCUCCGUACCCUGCAUGGCCAUUCCCCAUGA
rnacentral:rRNA from 1 species